UUAAGCGACUAAGCGUACACGGUGGAUGCCCUGGCAGUCAGAGGCGAUGAAGGACGUGCUAAUCUGCGAUAAGCGUCGGUAAGGUGAUAUGAACCGUUAUAACCGGCGAUUUCCGAAUGGGGAAACCCAGUGUGAUUCGUCACACUAUCAUUAACUGAAUCCAUAGGUUAAUGAGGCGAACCGGGGGAACUGAAACAUCUAAGUACCCCGAGGAAAAGAAAUCAACCGAGAUUCCCCCAGUAGCGGCGAGCGAACGGGGAGCAGCCCAGAGCCUGAAUCAGUGUGUGUGUUAGUGGAAGCGUCUGGAAAGGCGCGCGAUACAGGGUGACAGCCCCGUACACAAAAAUGCACAUGCUGUGAGCUCGAUGAGUAGGGCGGGACACGUGGUAUCCUGUCUGAAUAUGGGGGGACCAUCCUCCAAGGCUAAAUACUCCUGACUGACCGAUAGUGAACCAGUACCGUGAGGGAAAGGCGAAAAGAACCCCGGCGAGGGGAGUGAAAAAGAACCUGAAACCGUGUACGUACAAGCAGUGGGAGCACGCUUAGGCGUGUGACUGCGUACCUUUUGUAUAAUGGGUCAGCGACUUAUAUUCUGUAGCAAGGUUAACCGAAUAGGGGAGCCGAAGGGAAACCGAGUCUUAACUGGGCGUUAAGUUGCAGGGUAUAGACCCGAAACCCGGUGAUCUAGCCAUGGGCAGGUUGAAGGUUGGGUAACACUAACUGGAGGACCGAACCGACUAAUGUUGAAAAAUUAGCGGAUGACUUGUGGCUGGGGGUGAAAGGCCAAUCAAACCGGGAGAUAGCUGGUUCUCCCCGAAAGCUAUUUAGGUAGCGCCUCGUGAAUUCAUCUCCGGGGGUAGAGCACUGUUUCGGCAAGGGGGUCAUCCCGACUUACCAACCCGAUGCAAACUGCGAAUACCGGAGAAUGUUAUCACGGGAGACACACGGCGGGUGCUAACGUCCGUCGUGAAGAGGGAAACAACCCAGACCGCCAGCUAAGGUCCCAAAGUCAUGGUUAAGUGGGAAACGAUGUGGGAAGGCCCAGACAGCCAGGAUGUUGGCUUAGAAGCAGCCAUCAUUUAAAGAAAGCGUAAUAGCUCACUGGUCGAGUCGGCCUGCGCGGAAGAUGUAACGGGGCUAAACCAUGCACCGAAGCUGCGGCAGCGACGCUUAUGCGUUGUUGGGUAGGGGAGCGUUCUGUAAGCCUGCGAAGGUGUGCUGUGAGGCAUGCUGGAGGUAUCAGAAGUGCGAAUGCUGACAUAAGUAACGAUAAAGCGGGUGAAAAGCCCGCUCGCCGGAAGACCAAGGGUUCCUGUCCAACGUUAAUCGGGGCAGGGUGAGUCGACCCCUAAGGCGAGGCCGAAAGGCGUAGUCGAUGGGAAACAGGUUAAUAUUCCUGUACUUGGUGUUACUGCGAAGGGGGGACGGAGAAGGCUAUGUUGGCCGGGCGACGGUUGUCCCGGUUUAAGCGUGUAGGCUGGUUUUCCAGGCAAAUCCGGAAAAUCAAGGCUGAGGCGUGAUGACGAGGCACUACGGUGCUGAAGCAACAAAUGCCCUGCUUCCAGGAAAAGCCUCUAAGCAUCAGGUAACAUCAAAUCGUACCCCAAACCGACACAGGUGGUCAGGUAGAGAAUACCAAGGCGCUUGAGAGAACUCGGGUGAAGGAACUAGGCAAAAUGGUGCCGUAACUUCGGGAGAAGGCACGCUGAUAUGUAGGUGAAGUCCCUCGCGGAUGGAGCUGAAAUCAGUCGAAGAUACCAGCUGGCUGCAACUGUUUAUUAAAAACACAGCACUGUGCAAACACGAAAGUGGACGUAUACGGUGUGACGCCUGCCCGGUGCCGGAAGGUUAAUUGAUGGGGUCAGCGCAAGCGAAGCUCUUGAUCGAAGCCCCGGUAAACGGCGGCCGUAACUAUAACGGUCCUAAGGUAGCGAAAUUCCUUGUCGGGUAAGUUCCGACCUGCACGAAUGGCGUAAUGAUGGCCAGGCUGUCUCCACCCGAGACUCAGUGAAAUUGAACUCGCUGUGAAGAUGCAGUGUACCCGCGGCAAGACGGAAAGACCCCGUGAACCUUUACUAUAGCUUGACACUGAACAUUGAGCCUUGAUGUGUAGGAUAGGUGGGAGGCUUUGAAGUGUGGACGCCAGUCUGCAUGGAGCCG
rnacentral:rRNA from 1 species